rnacentral:rRNA from 1 species
UACGAAGGGGGCUAGCGUUGCUCGGAAUCACUGGGCGUAAAGCGCACGUAGGCGGCUUUCUAAGUCAGGGGUGAAAUCCUGGAGCUCAACUCCAGAACUGCCUUUGAUACUGGAGAGCUUGAGUCCGGAAGAGGUGGAGUGGAACUCCGAGUGUAGAGGUGAAAAUUCGUAGAUAUUCGGAAGAACACCAGUGGCGAAGGCGGCUCACUGGUCCGGUACUGACGCUGAGGUGCGAAAGCGUGGGGAGCAAACAGG